UACGUAGGGUGCAAGCGUUAAUCGGAAUUACUGGGCGUAAAGCGUGCGCAGGCGGUGAUGUAAGACAGAUGUGAAAUCCCCGGGCUCAACCUGGGAACUGCAUUUGUGACUGCAUCGCUGGAGUGCGGCAGAGGGGGAUGGAAUUCCGCGUGUAGCAGUGAAAGGCGUAGAUAUGCGGAGGAACACCGAUGGCGAAGGCAAUCCCCUGGGCCUGCACUGACGCUCAUGCACGAAAGCGUGGGGAGCAAACAGG
rnacentral:rRNA from 1 species